ACCGCGACAGCUCAGCUGGUAGAGCAUCAGCCCGAUAUGUGGAGGGUGGCCGGUUCGAUUCCGGCUCGCGGCG
rnacentral:tRNA from 1 species